CCGUACUUUAGUGCUCACUGAAGUGUGUCAAGUUUUUUCUAUUUAUUUCACACUGAGAAAGCAGCAGUGAUCAUGAAUAUUAAAUGCUAUUUCGGAAUGUAGCUUGUCUUACUUUAUGUGCCAGUCAGCAACAGGAACUCCACAUUGUGAUAACUGGUACUUUAAUUACUGGGGUAAAGGCACUCAGGUCACCGUCACUUCUGGUUUUCUCGCUGGGAUAGGAAUCUCUGCAAAGAAUAGAACACUUGGAUAUUCUCAUCUAAAUCCAGAACCUGGGAUUCUGCUUCUAAACAAAAAUGGGUCAAAUUAGAUUACAUAUGAAGAUUGUGUGAAAGAAUUUGAACUAUUGCUGGCAUUGUAAAGAGAAGAAACUACAGGGGAACACUUGUGCUGCGCAGGACGUCUUCUUGAUAAAAGUCUGCCCUCCCCUCCAGCAAGUGUUCACAAUGCCUUAGCCAUUUCAAAAGAAACUUAGUUUUCUCGCUGGGAAAGGAAUCUCUGCAAAGAAUAGAACACUUGGAUAUUCUCAUCUAAAUCCGGAACCUGGGAUUCUGCUUCUAAACAAAAAUGGGUCAAAUUAGAUUACAUAUGAAGACUGUGUGAAAGAAUUUGAAAUAUUGCUGGCAUUGUAAAGAGAAGAAACUACAGGGGAACAUUUGUGCUGCGCAGGACGUCUUCUUGAUAAAAGUCUGCCCUCCCCUCCAGCAACUGUUCACAAUGCCUUAGCCAUUUCAAAAGAAACUUAGUUUUCUCGCUGGGAAAGGAAUCUCUGCAAAGAAUAGAACACUUGGAUAUUCUCAUCUAAAUCCGGAACCUGGGAUUCCGCUUCUAAACAAAAAUGGGUCAAAUUAGAUUACAUAUGAAGACUGUGAGAAUGAAUAUGAAUUAUUGCUGGCACUGUAAAGAGAAGAAAAUACAGGGGAACACUUGUGCUGCGCAGGACGUCUUCUUGAUAAAAAUCUGCCCUCCCCUCCAGCAACUGUUCACAAUGCCUUAGCCAUUUCAAAAGAAACUUAGGAAGUAUAUAUGAAAGAUUUAUAAAAUAUUAUUCAUCUGUAGAGUUAACAUAUAUGUCUCUUCUGAUAUUAUUUUUUUCCUAGGGGCUCUUAACAGUGUACUUUAGUGCUCACUGAAGUGUGAGAAAUGUUUUUACU